UAGAUGCGAGAGUAGAGCAUAUCAAUAAGCGGAGGAAAAGAAACUAACAAGGAUUCCCUUAGUAACGGCGAGUGAAGCGGGAAGAGCUCAAAUUUGAAAUCUUCAAGGUUCUACCUUGACGAAUUGUAGUUUAAAGAAGUGUUUUCUGUUAGAUGAGUAGCAAAAGUUCCUUGGAAUGGGACAGUCAUAGAGGGUGAGAAUCCCGUAUUUGGUUAUUCAUUCUAGCUUUGUGAUACACUUUCAAAGAGUCGGAUUGUUUGGGAAUGCAGUCCAAAAUGGGUGGUAAAUUUCAUCUAAAGCUAAACUAUUGGCGAGAGACCGAUAGCGAACAAGUACCGUGAGGGAAGGAUGAAAAGAACUUUGAAAAGAGAGUUAAACAGUACGUGAAAUUGUCAAAAGGGAAGCGUUUGACACCAGUGUUGUUUUUCCCGAAAAUCAAUUACGAAUGGCUUGAUUUUGUGUUGUAUUGACCUUAUCAGCUUUCUGCACUUUUUUCGAGUCUUUCUUAAUGCACUUUUCGGUUAACAAGUCAACAUCAAUUUCUUUUGUUGUAAAAGAGUAUUCGGAGGGUGGCUUUCUUUUCGGAGAAAGUGUUUAUAGCCCUAUACUUCUACAAUCGGAGAGAUUGAGGUCUGCAGCGUAGAUCCUUCGGGGUUAGAUACACUUGUGCUAAGUUGUAGCUUUUCAUAGACAACUUGUUGACUAUGUUUAGUCAUGCGGCUUACUCGCUUAUGCUAUUUUACCUACGCUUAGGAUGUUGAGCGCAUGUCUCUCUCU
rnacentral:rRNA from 1 species